rnacentral:sRNA from 1 species
AGCUCGCCGAGGCGCCGAGGAGAGCGGGCCGCCCCACAGCCCAAGCCGGAGAGGGAGCGCGAGCCGCGCCGGCCCCGGUCGGGCCUCCGAAACCAUGAACUUUCUGCUGUCUUGGGUGCAUUGGAGCCUUGCCUUGCUGCUCUACCUCCACCAUGCCAAGUGGUCCCAGGCUGCACCCAUGGCAGAAGGAGGAGGGCAGAAUCAUCACGAAGUGGUGAAGUUCAUGGAUGUCUAUCAGCGCAGCUACUGCCAUCCAAUCGAGACCCUGGUGGACAUCUUCCAGGAGUACCCUGAUGAGAUCGAGUACAUCUUCAAGCCAUCCUGUGUGCCCCUGAUGCGAUGCGGGGGCUGCUGCAAUGACGAGGGCCUGGAGUGUGUGCCCACUGAGGAGUCCAACAUCACCAUGCAGAUUAUGCGGAUCAAACCUCACCAAGGCCAGCACAUAGGAGAGAUGAGCUUCCUACAGCACAACAAAUGUGAAUGCAGACCAAAGAAAGAUAGAGCAAGACAAGAAAAGUAAGUGGCCCUGACUUUA